ACGAACGCUGGCGGCGUGCCUAAUACCUGCAAGUCGAGCGGACUGAUUAAGAGCUUGCUCUUAUGACGUUCGCGGCGGACGGGUGAGUAACACGUGGGCAACCUGCCCUGUAGAUCGGGAUAACACCGAGAAAUCGGUGCUAAUACCGGGUAAUAUCUGAGAUCACAUGAUCUUAGGUUAAAAGAUGGCUCCGGCUAUCACUACAGGAUGGGCCCGCGGCGCAUUAGCUAGUUGGUAAGGUAAUGGCUUACCAAGGCGACGAUGCGUAGCCGACCUGAGAGGGUGAUCGGCCACACUGGGACUGAGACACGGCCCAGACUCCUACGGGAGGCAGCAGUAGGGAAUCUUCCGCAAUGGACGAAAGUCUGACGGAGCAACGCCGCGUGAGUGAUGAAGGGUUUCGGCUCGUAAAGCUCUGUUGUUAGGGAAGAAACAGUACCGAACGAACUAGGUCGGUACCUUGACGGUACCUAACCAGAAAGCCACGGCUAACUACGUG
rnacentral:rRNA from 1 species